CCGGGUUCGGCGGCAGAACGCGCGAGUCGUAAAGCGAAGACACAUCCGGAAAUUCGUCACCGCUCUUGGCGUGGUGUCCUCAGUAGUCUCUGAGGCGCCAAGACAGUAGAGGAUGAAGUUUGCAACUGUUCAGUGGCAGCUGUGGCUGUGAACACAGGAAGGCGGGGUCUCGGCUGAGAAUGAGCGUUAAGGGCUCCUGAGCCCCAACACCCACCAGAAAAGGCAUCUACUGUUGGGGUCCUCAUGAAGCAAAGGGUGGGGGACAGAAAAGGCUCACAGAUGCCAAUAAGUCAGCCUAAAGUCUUGGAAAGAGAUCUGCGUCAGAGGGAACCUAGGUUCAAGUCCUGACUCCUACUGGCCAGGUGAGGAGCCUGAGGACCCCGAGUAGCAUGCUGAGGGCCCCACGGCUAGUUCUGCGGCUCCCCGUCAGAGGCCAGAGCACCUGCCUUCUGCUGCUCUUCUCACAGAAGCACACCACUUUGGGCGGUGGAAAAAUUCAC